rnacentral:misc_RNA from 1 species
GAUGAAGAACGCAGCGAAAUGCGAUAAGUAGUGUGAAUUGCAGAAUUACCUGAAUCAUCGAAUCUUUGAACGCACAUUGCGCCCCCUGGUAUUCCGGGGGGCAUGCCUGUCCGAGCGUCAUUACAACCCUCAAGCUCAGCUUGGUGUUGGGCCCCGCCGCCCCGGCGGGCCCUAAAGUCAGUGGCGGUGCCGUCCGGCUCCGAGCGUAGUAAUUCUUCUCGCUCUGGAGGUCCGGUCGUGUGCUCGCCAGCAACCCCCAAUUUUUUUCAGGUUGACCUCGGAUCAGGUAGGGAUACCCGCUGAACUUAAGCAUAUCAAUAAGCGGAGGA